UCUCUUGGUAGCGCCUCCAUGCUCUGGACCCUACGCUGACAGACACAGCAAACCUUCUUGCCACAGCUCGCAUUGAUGUGCCAUCCUGGAUGAGCUGCACUACCUGAGCCACUUGUGUGGGUUGUAGACUCCGUCUCAUGCUACCACUAGAGUGAAAGCACCGCCAGCAUUCAAAAGUGACCAAAACAUCAGCCAGGAAGCAUAGGAACUGAGAAGUGGUCUGUGGUCACCACCUGCAGAACCACUCCUUUAUUGGGGAUGUCUUGCUAAUUGCCUAUACUUUCCACCUGUUGUCUAUUCCAUUUGCACAACAGCAUGUGAAAUUUAUUGUCAAUCAGUGUUGCUUCCUAAGUGGACAGUUUGAUUUCACAGAAGUGUGAUUGACUUGGAGUUACAUUGUGUUGUUUAAGUGUUCCCUUUAUUUUUUUGAGCAGUGUACAUCACAGAAGACUGAAAUAUAACAAAACCGUUUGACAGAGAAACACCACAUUUUUGGCUGCUUUUCUAAAAUAAUUUUAAUUAAUUCUGAAAUUCUGAAAAAUAUUAAUAAUAUUCCACCCAUGAGGCCACUAUAUGAUUUGACUGCAGAAAAGGGCUACCAGACACAUUUUUAGAUUGAUUGUUGAAACUGAUGUGGCCUUCCCUGUGGCUCAGUUGGUAGAGCAUGGUGUUUGCAACGCCAGCAUAGUAUGUGCAACGCCAGGGUUGUGGGUUCGAUUCCCAUGGGGGGCCAGUACAAAAACAAAUGCAUGAAAUGAAAUGUAUGCAUUCACUACUGUAAGUCGCUCUGGAUAAGAGCGUCUGCUAAAUGACUAAAAUGUAAAAAAUGUAAAAUGUGAUGUAAGGAAUGUUUAAUGUUUCUAAAUCCUUCUCUCUUCUCUCUCAUAGAUUCACCACUGUGAAAAGGGAUUGGGACAGACCUGUCUGUGCCGACCCCAACCAGAAGUGGGUACAGGAUGCUAUUGAACACAUCACGAUCGAAAGGACGGCAGCCUGAAGAUGAUGGUGGCAUCCACACGGAUCUGGCUUUGUCAACUAUUUUCAGAGGAUAACAGCUCUUCUG
rnacentral:tRNA from 8 species